rfam:Rhizobium sp. YS-1r CONTIG.1, whole genome shotgun sequence.
CGUCAAGAGUUUUUGGCACCGAUCUGGUGAGCAAAUUUCUUUUGCCUGCUGAAAGGUAAGAGACGAUG